GAGGGAGGAGGAGGAAGCGCGCCUCGGCCGGCCGCCGCAGUUGGAGUCGGAGCAGGGGGGAGCAGUUUCAAAAAAUUAUUAAAAAUCGAGGGAAAAUCCUAGAAACGCUCUGCGGGCCUGAAAACCCCAGAGAGGUCCCAGGCUCCCUGGAAAAGAGGUUUCGGGUGUCCGUAAAGCCUCUCAGGGGUCAGAUGUGGCAGGUGAAUCCUGGCUGAAGGAGAGAGGAAGCACGGAGGUCCACAUCCAUGGUGCUGAUGACAGGAAGACCCCUGAGGCACACAAUUAUAUCAAGCAGUGACAUUGGAGUCAGCUGUGGGAAUACACUGAUGGUCUUCACACCCCUGUGGAUGGUGAGGGAGCCAACAGAGAUUGUAGAAGUGAGAACUGUGCUGUUGCAUCCUCAGGCAAAUGAUUUCUUCUGUAAAUGUCUUCUUGGCAUGUCUAUGAAGAGACGUCCUCAGAGCCAAACUGCCUUUAUCUUCAUCAGAUCUGUUUGCAAGAGAUAAUCAUAGCUGACCAUGUUAACUGUGACCUACUUUUAUAUAAGGGGCACAGUGCAUCAUGGGACCUUCACAUGAGUAUCCAGGCACCCCUCCAAGCCAGCUGUAUGAAAAUCUAAUUGUACAAAGCCUCAAGGAGUCUGUGAUGGCUAAUCUUGGUUGUCAACUUGAAGACAUCUAGAAUCAACUGAAUCCCAAGCAGCUAGGUGUUGAGAAAUUUUCAUGAUCAAAUCAUCUGAGGUCAGAAGACUCACUCUAAAUCUGGGCUACACCUUCUGAUGGCAUCCCGCAUAAAAGGACACGAAAUAAGGAAAGUUUUGAUUUUUGCCUGCUUGUCCUCACUCUUACUGGCAAGUUCAUCUAGUCUGCUGCUGUGGCAUUCUUUCACUGGUGUUAGAACCUACUUCUUCAUGACUGAAGACUAUCUAAGAUAUCCAGCCAUGUGGACCGAAUAACUACUAAAUUUAUGGCCUUUUUUUUUUUUUUGGAGCAAUAGAUA
rnacentral:lncRNA from 1 species